UCGACCUGAGCUCAAGCAAGACCACCC
rnacentral:rRNA from 1 species